CCAUUCUGCAGAAGGAAACAAAAACAAGGACAUUUAGAGACGCUUCUGUGCUACUGUAAUAAAGGAAAUAGCAUUUCAAAUGAGAUCAUAAUGCUAGAAAAUCUGCAAAAAACCUGCACAAAACAGAGAUCUAAAAUGCAGCACUUCUUUAUUUCCACCGCUUAGAACAAAAAUCUCCUUAUCAAUCUGUAUGAACCACCAGGGAAGAGGUGACCUCUCUGACUGUUCUUAUGAUGCCAUCUCUAAUCCUCUCCUCUAGCUAUUGAAAUAUAUUGAAAUGGACCAAUAGGAACAUUAUCAUUCUAUUAAAAUAUACUUUUCUGUUAAUGCAGCUGCUGCCAGGAAGUUAGGCGUUUGCAAAUAGAACGGACUCGUUCAUUUUGAAUGGAAGACAAGAAAUCCAUGAAAAAUUAUCUUCUGACACAAGUCUGAAGGUUCUUACGUUUCCUUACACAGUAAGAAAAAUGAUUUAAUAUAUUUACAUUGUUUGCAGUGUAUGCUUCUAAAACUACUGAGAAAGACUAUAGUCCAGAGGGUGCCAAAUCUUAAUCCAGAACUCUGAAGACCCUGGAUUGCAGCUGCUUUAAUCCUGAAAGCAAUACUUGAAUUUUAUUCACAUUACACUUUGCCCCUGCCCAGGGCAAAGAUAUACUUAAGUGCUCACAAACCUGAGAGACUGUACAGGUAUUUCUUACCUUAUUUUUUUUUUCUGAAGACAUAAAGCAAUGUUUUACUAUGAAUGGUGACUUAUCAAAAACUAGUACUGUGAAUUGAUGGUGUGUUUCAUUAGAUUAGUUAUCAACAUGUCAAUGGGUGCCAUCAUCUUACAGAAAGUAAAGCAGCAAUUACGUGUAGCUACAUCAUUUCUGAUCAUGAGUAUCAGAAAUCUUAUUUCAAUUUUGACUUGCCAAAGAAAGGAAACCUCUGUUUUCACAGUAGGCAUACACAAGAAGUAUCAAUAGAACGUCUAUAAAAUCACAUUACAACUGUGGAAGCCACUCUACACAGGUUUGGCAAUGUUGCAAGACAUCCCACUCCCUGAAUAUAGCUGCUGCAACAGUGUCCAGCACUUGCUAUGUUUCUAUGGCAUGCCCUGGUGUACUGCCUUAGCCGGUUUAUUGCCGGAUGCAUGAUUUGGCCAGAGACUCAAUUAAAUGUUGAAUUUGAAUCCAUUAGGAAAAAUCUCUUUCUUGACCCAGUCAGCGUCCCAUGCUGUUAUGUCGGCAUGCAGUACUGAAUCCUGCUCUCUCAAUUCCCACAGCAGCACAAUCCUGACUGUUGUAAAUACAGCUUGCUUGGGUUUUGCCAUAGCCUCUCCCCAGCUCUUUCUAAGUUAACUUAGAAGACGCACGUGCCUGCUCUGCACUUACAAGAGUGGCAAUUUGUGAGACUGUGCAGUGAGUUGUAGUGGUUUUAAAAAAGAAAGGGCGGAUUUCAGGAGUGGAACAGGCAGGAGAGACUCAGCAGCAGCUCCUGGAAAGAUGAAUUAAUAAAAGCUUUGCCUUUAAACCAAUAGGCAUUUGAAUCAUCAUCAGAUGGUCAGUAUACACACAGCUACUAUGUAACUGCAGUCCUCAUGUAAAGACAGAUCUACUGAAGCACUCUCCGGACUCCAUCAUUCUUCUUUAGGAAAAGCUUACCCACAACUCUUAGUUUUAAAUAAGAGUUUGUUUUGGACUUCCAAUUGCAAUGUGACAUUUUAGUUUAGUUCCACAGUCAUGCAGUUUUUAUUUCCUUUUCUGUGGUUUUGACCAACAGUAAGCGCAAAACUAGAUUAAAGGCUGUUGCAGCCUCUGACAUGUCAAAGAGGCGAACAAGGCCCUCUAAUGUUUAGCAACUUGCUGCUGGGCAUCAUUACAGUAUCUGCUGGGUUAGUGAUUAAUUAACUUCCGUUUGUCGUUUGCAUUUUCUACAGCUUCAGGCUAUUUCUACCCAUAGCAUCCAUUUAACAGUCUAACUUAGCAACACAUAAUUAAAAUGCAAGGGUUUCAAGGAAUUUCAGGAAAUGCUGUAAUUUAAUGGAGAUUAAUGGAGGGACUGAAUGAACCUUACAAACUGGCUAUUGAGAAAGAAGUAAUUAUCUUAGCCUCACCCAAAACAGGUAUAGGAAUUAUGCACACUAUCACAAGCAGCAUUGUAUCGAUAAGCUGUAGAUUGCUAGCUUCUCUGUGUUUGCUAUUGGCAGUUUGUAGAAGUGCUGUGAUAAAGGUUCCCUGAACAGAGCUCUGCGCUCAAGGGACCCGGUCUGCAUGCAGGCCUCCAAAAUGCUUCAGCAGCCAUUUCAGCUCUGCACAGACCUGAUCACUACACUCUUCAUGGCACUGUUUAGGAUUACACCCUCUUGUUUAAGGUUACAGGUGGUUUGUACCAACUUGGAGGAAGAAAUCCCUUCCACUGAAACAGAAUUGGGGAAGCAGAAAAAAAAAUGGAUCCCAGAGGCUGACUGGGUUCACUGCUCGGAUGAGUAAACUGCUCAGAGGGGAGAGAAAAUACUGUGUUAUUUAAUUUGCUUCUAAAUAACUAAGCAGCUCUAUCAUGUGCUCUCUAUUUUCUCAACCACUGUGAAAUGAAGAAAAUAUUUGUCCAUUUACUCAGUUUGGUGGAAGGACUCCCCAUGAAGCUUAACAGAGAAUGACUUGGAGUAAACAUUAGUGCCUGAAGUCAGGGGGAGUUUUGGCUCUGAAUUUACAGAAGUCAGGAUCUAGUCCUUGCUUAGAGUUUUUUUCUCUUGGUAACAUCCAUUAGAGAGGGGAAAAAGAAUCAUCUCUCAUUUACUCUAAAAGAGUAAUAUUCAGGUUAAUUGCAGUUGUAAAUAUAUCCGAGCAUUUAUCUUCAAAAUUGCUUUUUUUUCCAUUCCAGGUCCCAUGAUUGAAACCAAUCUUUAUCAUACUCUUAUUCCAGUUUCAAAAAGGAAGAUUGUCUAAUUAAAAUAACAGCUAAAAGACUGGAAGCCAAGGGCCAGCUAAACGUAAUUGAUUGAUUAAUAAGAAAAGCAGAACUCUGUGAAAAGGUCUGAUUAUACUUUGACAGGCUUCAGGCGUGCACUUGGGCAAAACAGCUGAGUUUCUAUUCAACAAGUGUCAGAUAAAGUGUAACAAAGUUGGAAGCAAGGGGGAAUUGCAUCAUUUAAACACCUGGUUUAGCUCACUUCAGUCUCCAUUCAGUGCAGAUGAAUGCAUAAGGAUCAGACAUAAACCCUUUCCCCCGGAAAGCUCAAAUCAAAGAGAGUAUCUGCUAAACAAAAGGUGGUGAUUCAUGCUAAAGAUAAAUGUGAAACUAAAUAUAGGAAAUUUCCCACAUCUUCACAAUUGUGGAAAAGAUAGCCUGGAGCUUAGGUUUUUUCACAUCAGUAAAACAGAGCUAUGCUUUUUUAGCAUUAAAAAGCGAGCAGCUGUUCAUGGAUACAUAAAGGGUGCCCAAGGUACUUCCAUUUUGUGCAGACUAUGAGAUUGCUUCCAAGGCUUAAAAAGCUUUUAACCAGAUAGCACUCUUUUUGUGUUUCCUGUAAGCAAAUAAUAAUAGAAAACACUUUGCAGGUAUCAAUGGAAGGCCUCAAUGAAAGCUUCUGCAUUUUUUCUGGAGGGCCAAAAUUAUCCGUAGUGUAGUGUCACGUCAGAAACUAAGUUAGCUCCUGAUUUUAGAAGACUUUAGUCAAUAUGAAAUAUAAAACAGUGGCAGGACUUUGGAGACAUUGCAAGGAACCCUCAAGUUUUGGUUCAUGCUCCUGCUCAACAUUUAGGAAGAGAAAGAUCUCCUGGAUCUCCUCCUUCACAGUGAGCAGGAGGAUACAAAGAAAGAAAAGCUACAACAAAGACACCAUUCAAAUUGCUCCAGGAUUUGUGUGUGGUACGUGCACACCACAUGUACAAUUCUAACAGUGAUGAGAUCUAUCAGACAUAAAUAUGUGUUCUUAACAACAAGUCUCGAAGAGAAAAUGCUACAUCACAGACUGCCUACUUACCUUAUAGAAUAUCAGCAAAAGAUCAUCCAGGUUUCCAUGCAAAUCUCCUACAGGAAACAAAAACAUUUUUUUCCCCUUAAUUUUUCUCACAAAAGAGAUAAAAACUGGAAUAAUAAAACUAGAAUUAGUUCGCCCUAACAAGUUUUACCCCAUGUUUUCCUUAAUUUGCCUUGUAUUAGGAUUAGCUUCAUUUUAAGGAACAUGCCGAAGCUGCUGGCAAUUAAAUACUCAAUAGAGUAUACAAUUGUCUUGCAUAAAGUUUUUGUCUUUUCUUUGCGGCUGGACCUGAAGAUCAGACCAGUCACACAGCCAAAGGUCCACUCAGGGAAGUGGGAGUAAGAUGAAAAAAUACAUUAUGAACCUGAAAAAAACAGGAAAUUUCACUAAAAGACAUUUAGAAAUAUGAUAAGACUUCUACCAGGUUUAAAUUUCCGAAGUAGCCCACUACAUACAGCACAACUGACAUCUGUCUGGUUCAGGGCCAGGUUUUGAUUAUUACAGGCGGGAUCUGGUGGAGGGUGUCAAGAGCUGUCCGUGUUUGUAUGCCUCAGUGCUAAGGCCACAGGAAUGACAGAUUUGGCCCUUUCCAAGAGGCUUCUUUUGGAGCAGGCACGGGGGUUUCACCCCAACACAAAGGAUCACUGCAGCAUAGCUUCCCUCUGCAUAUGACUGAAUUUCAUGCUCACAGAACCAACCUUCUCAUGUCUGUGACUCACCAACACAAAGCCACAGAACGGUUUCAGAACCUAUCUUGUGAUAAUAUGCUUUCACCACCAAUGAGUAGGAAAGGAGAGAAGUGACAUUUUUACCCUGUCUACAUGUUUUCUGUGCCACUUUUUAUUAAUUAUGAGCCUGCUGAAGUCAUUCUACGGAGUCCUUCAAGCUAUGAUAGAUUUUCAUCAUGUAUGUGGGUGCAAACAUUUCAGGUGCGUAUUUAAUCUGCAUUAUUAAUUUGAAAUUAAAAUAAAAUGGGAAGAGGGAUACUUUAUUUUAAGGAAAUCAACUUUUUGGACCAAUUAUGUCUAAAAAUUGGUCUUUCAUCUUCUGCAGAGGAUCUUUCUGGUUACAACAGCUAUUAAUUUCAGCGGCAUGAAGGGGACCACUUUCGGUGCUGGUUACAUAGCGCAAACAAAAUACAAACAUGAGAAGAUUGUCUUUAUCAUAUAUUCUACUAAAAGAAAGAACGAGACCUUAGAGGACAGUGUUCUGGCAGCUGCUGUUGCAGAGCUGGUCCUGUGAGAUGACUAUUGUAAACACUUUUUGCUGGGCUACAGGUAAGUUUUCUGUAACCUUGACUAGAUGCAAAUGGAAAUAAAAAUGUAUUAUUUAUUGCUGGAGGAACACCCGUGGCUGUGACUCAAAACUCGCAGCAGCCAAAACCAGCAUGUGGCCUCAUAAAUUAUGAGAUUCAUAAAGGACAGCUUGUCUUGUAACUCGAUAAAAUCCAUAUUAAAGAAAAAAAUAGAUAAAAACACACUUUUUAUCAGCUCUGGAUUAUGAAACCCCCCUUUUUAUCAGCUCUUCUGCUGUUAGCUGAUUAGCACAUUCAGUAUACAGCCAUGUAAAUGGAUUAAGGCAUCAAGUAACAGCAAGGUGAUCAGGGUUCACCGUUUCCCACAAAUACAGUCUGAUUUUCAGUCUUCCACCACAGUUACAGUUUUGUCUGGCCAGAUGCCAGAACAUCACCCAUGGGCUGAAACUGCUCAGUCCCACAUACUGAUCAGCCAAGCACAUCUGCACCAAGUCUUGUCCCAGCUCUAGCAGCAGGUCCCUGGAUGGCAUCUCCCUCUGUGCUCUACCUCUCAGGAAGUAGGUGGCUGCAGACCACGGAGCCCGUUCCUCAGACCACCCCAAUUCCUCAUUGCUUGCCUGUUCUGGCCAGAGGCUCUCCUAAUCUGACAUGACAUCUUCAGAGUCGGCAGUCUCCUCAGCAUUUCAAGCCAGGCAGAGGCCUGCCUAUGCCUGCUCCUACCCCAGCCCUCCCUUCCUGCAUGCAGCAGGCUGCCUUCCCUUUACCUCUGAACAUGAACCUGCCUUCCUCGCAGUCUUGCUUCCUUUUUGGCACAUGCCCAGGCUGAGAAACCCAAUCUCCUUCCCUGUAGUGCAUAUCUCUGCAAAGUACACCCCAUUUUCCACUUCUGGAUGAGUCGCCAAAAGCCACUCAUGGUCAUUAGCCUUAGAGUGUGCUUACAUCUCCUCAGGCAGUCUUUCAACUGUCAGAGGAGUCAGUAAUGGAUGCCCUAAUGCAGACUGGGGAUUUGUGUGCUGGCCGACAAGUACCCUAGCUCACCACAAGCCCCACGCAGGACUAAUUCUGAAGGAUUUGGCACCCUUCUCAUUUUAGUCAUCUUCUAGUUGAAGCUAUCAAGGCUCUUUCAGCCCAUAUUGAAAGACAGGGACAAAAACUCUUGACAUGCCUAGUUCAGGCACCCAUCUUAAGACAGAAUGCAAUACAGUCUGCCAGUACCUGCAUCUCUCCACCAACUACAGAGAGUGCAGGGAAUGACCUGCUUUGUAUUCUGACACCAGAAGUCUAGCCCAAGCACAGUGAAUUGAGCCUUCGCUAUUAGCGGACUCCAUACAACUAUCCUACAGGACAAUAGCAAUAUUCCAUGUUAAAAAUGAAAGCCCAGAGCUACAUGGAGUCAGUUUCACCACAGAAAGCCCAGGGACCUGGGUCUCCUGACAAGACCACCUCACCAUAAGAGUUGUUCAAGGCAAGACAAAGACGCCACUGCCAAGAAUGUAUUCACAAUCAGGGUAACAGGGAAUCAGCUAUUUCUGCGGCUCUGAAAUAAGGUCUGUUCUGCCACCAUCCAUGUGCCUUCAGACUAACCACUGGGGUACCUGAGAGCACCUCUGGCUCCUGAGGAGUGCUCUUACAUCUGGCAGAUACUGAUCCGCAGCCAACAGGUCACAGUCAGAUGGACCUUGAGCCCAAGAGGAUAAAGAUUUCUAUAAUGCUCCAAAUAUUUAUUCCUUCACUCCAUUCCUGGCGCUGUAAGCUGCAAGCAGCUGUGACUUAUUGCCCACUGCAAGAAUCACGCUAUGCAAAAAGCCUUUGAAGGGUGUUAAUGCUGUAAGGAAGGCAUCAUGGGCAAUGAAACUGCAGAAAACAUCACCUUCUCUUUUUUUUCCCUUUUGAAGGAAGGCUGCAGGAGAUGUGGCUCCUACCCUGGUGACCUUGAGAGGCAUAGCCAGGGGUGCCUUGGACUCCCAGUCCCACCACUUUGCCUAGAACAUGUUUGCAGCCUUCUCACCCUCAAUAUGCCAACAAAAAAGUGGAAAAGCUGAACUGAGGUGUGCUAUCAGCAUGCAGAAGAAGCAGAUGAAGUGAGCAGUGUCUGAUUUUGUUCAAGUUUGCCAAUUCCUUCUCAGGAAGUUAAAUGACUAAAGCAGGUUUUUUUGCAGAAUACAGUAGUAAUGGAAAAAAUCAAAGGAACGACUAUUGUAUCAUCUGCCUUGGCUUUGGAGCAAGGCUCAGACAUAAUUUCUUUCUCUGCAGAGCACAGAGAGCAUUAGGCACUCUAAAGUAUUUAAGAGAGAAAAAUUGCCAUUUCUAAUGGUUGUCCUUGGAACACUGAACCACUUAUGGUUUUGAUGGUGGUUUUAUCCUGCUAUCAAAGUGUCUUGUGCAAAUUUUAAUUGGAAUAACCUGUGGCUGGGCCAGAUGAAAGAGAAAGGACAUUCUCUUCUAAUUCAAUAAGAAGGGGACAGCCUCCUUUUUAACUCUGGUGGGAUUAGAUCUAUUCUCAAUUUGUUCGGGGAAGUCAUGUUUGUUUUCUGGACUUAGGAAGUCACUUUCAGUCUGUCCUUCUGUUGAGCCUGACCUCAAAAGUAAGUUUUGUCCAAGGAUCUCAAAAUACUUAAAAAAUUAAAGGUUAUUCUUUGAAUUGAGAUGGUUCCUAAAGAUUUGUCUCCAGCAGUUUAAAUUUAUUUCAUUUUUAGUCAUUCACAUACUGAUACAUGUUUUGCAGCAAA